GAUGAACGCUGGCGGCGUGCCUAAUACAUGCAAGUCGAGCGAACGGACGAGAAGCUUGCUUCUCUGAUGUUAGCGGCGGACGGGUGAGUAACACGUGGAUAACCUACCUAUAAGACUGGGAUAACUUCGGGAAACCGGAGCUAAUACCGGAUAAUAUUUUGAACCGCAUGGUUCAAAAGUGAAAGACGGUUUUGCGGUCACUUAUAGAUGGAUCCGCGCUGCAUUAGCUAGUUGGUAAGGUAACGGCUUACCAAGGCAACGAUGCAUAGCCGACCUGAGAGGGUGAUCGGCCACACUGGAACUGAGACACGGUCCAGACUCCUACGGGAGGCAGCAGUAGGGAAUCUUCCGCAAUGGGCGAAAGCCUGACGGAGCAACGCCGCGUGAGUGAUGAAGGUCUUCGGAUCGUAAAACUCUGUUAUUAGGGAAGAACAUAUGUGUAAGUAACUGUGCACAUCUUGACGGUACCUAAUCAGAAAGCCACGGCUAACUACGUG
rnacentral:rRNA from 1 species